rnacentral:rRNA from 1 species
AGUGAAUAGAUACCCUGGUAGUCCACGCCCUAAACUAUGUCAACUAGUUGUCGGACCUUAAUAGGUUUGGUAAACGUAGCUAAACGCGUGAAAGUUGACCGCCUGGGGAGUACGGUCGCAAGAUUAAACUACAAAGGAAUUGACGGGGACCCGCACAAGCGGUGGAUUAUGUGGAUUAAUUCGAUGCAACGCGAAAAACCUUACCUACCCUUGACAUGUGCAGAAUUUAAUCAGAGAUGAGAAAGUGCUCGAAAGAGAACUGCAACACAGGUGCUGCAUGGCUGUCGUCAGCUCGUGUCGUGAGAUGUUGGGUUAAGUCCCGCAACGAGCGCAACCCUUGUCAUUAAUUGCCAUCAUUUAGUUGGGCACUUUAAUGAGACUGCCGGUGAUAAACCGGAGGAAGGUGGGGAUGACGUCAAGUCCUCAUGGCCCUUAUGGGUAGGGCUUCACACGUAAUACAAUGGCGCGUACAGA